rnacentral:tRNA from 1 species
AGAGUAUAGCUCAGUGGUAGAGUGUGUGCUUAGCAUGCAUGAGGUCCUGGGUUCAAUCCCCAGAACCUCUG